UGUUGCUAGGAGCAGUGCUAGAGGGUGUGGCUUCAACUGGGAUGGUGAGGUUACUGUUGGGGGCAGAGUUGUUAUAGGUUUACUGUUAGAGGCUUACAGUUAGAGCUUUACUGUAGCCUGAAGAUAGCUGGGAAGAGCUGAUGUACUGAAGAAAGGAAAGCCUAAAAAAAGUGUAAAGUUGUGGAGGUCACCAAGAGAAAAGCUGGAGGUGCUGAAGGGAAAGUGAUGAUUUCCCAAGGCAGUAUGUUGAGAGAUUUCUGAGAUGUUUCACAUGUGAAGUGACUAGAUUUGCCAGCCCUCCUGGAUUGGCCUGGAAUCUCCAGGAAGCAACAUCAGUCUUCAGUAUAGUCCUGGAAAAUAACUUCAUGUCUGGGCGGCUGCUAUAUUUUCCCUAAAGCAAUAUUUUGAAGUGAAGUUGGAGGUUUGCUGCUCAGACAAAAUAUCCAAAGAGGUCGGGGGACUGGAAAAAUGGUUUUAUUCAACUUUCUUAUGAUCUUAGAGGUUAUUGUAUUUAAUUUUGUUCUAUUCUAUUUUAUAAUGUGUUAUUGUAUUGUAUGGCGUUGUUUGGUCUUACGGAGAAUUCUGUUGUAAGCCUCCAUGGAUUCAUAUAGGAAUGGCACAUAAAAAAUCUUGUAAAUAAAUAACAGUUUUGGCAAGACUAGAAAA